rnacentral:rRNA from 1 species
AGAUUGAACGCUGGCGGCGUGCCUAACACAUGCAAGUCGAGCGGUAACAGGUGUAGCAAUACAUGCUGACGAGCGGCGAACGGGUGAGUAAUGCUUCGGAAUCUGCCCAAUGGUGGGGAAUAACCAGCCGAAAGGUUGGCUAAUACCGCAUAAGUCCUACGGGGGAAAGCAGGGGAUCGCAAGACCUUGCGCCGAUGGAUGAGCCGAAGUCGGAUUAGCUAGUUGGUAGGGUAACGGCCUACCAAGGCGACGACGGGUA